GUAAGAAUUGUGAAGGCUUACGGUCAGC
rnacentral:sRNA from 1 species